CCAUCUUUCUUACUAUCCUUUACCUAUUUGUGUCUUACCUUACUGUAGACUUAGUGGGUGGGCCGUUGAGGUCGAUGACGAUACCCGCUGAGGACUACUCUGUUUUGCAGUAGUUCUCACACCCAGUUGUUGCCACCUUUUUGCAGACCCGUCCGCUGCUGUUGCUGCUGCUGUUGCUGAUUCCGACCACAGUACGAAAAUUUCUAUGUAUACAGCGGGUAUGUUGGUGUGCUCGAAAAAACGUGGUAAUCUGAAGCGUAAUAAAUAUUUAGUUAGCAAAAUUGAAUUGUGCGAUUUAAUUACAAUAAUUUAAAAAGUGUGAGCCAAAAUUUUAGUACAUUA
rnacentral:lncRNA from 1 species